GGAAUGGCAGAGCUACCAUGCAGUCGAGCGGUAGCACAGAGAGCUUGCUCUCGGGUGACGAGCGGCGGACGGGUGAGUAAUGUCUGGGAAACUGCCUGAUGGAGGGGGAUAACUACUGGAAACGGUAGCUAAUACCGCAUAACGUCGCAAGACCAAAGAGGGGGACCUUCGGGCCUCUUGCCAUCAGAUGUGCCCAGAUGGGAUUAGCUAGUAGGUGGGGUAACGGCUCACCUAGGCGACGAUCCCUAGCUGGUCUGAGAGGAUGACCAGCCACACUGGAACUGAGACACGGUCCAGACUCCUACGGGAGGCAGCAGUGGGGAAUAUUGCACAAUGGGCGCAAGCCUGAUGCAGCCAUGCCGCGUGUAUGAAGAAGGCCUUCGGGUUGUAAAGUACUUUCAGCGGGGAGGAAGGUGUUGAGGUUAAUAACCUCAGCAAUUGACGUUACCCGCAGAAGAAGCACCGGCUAACUCCGUGCCAGCAGCCGCGGUAAUACGGAGGGUGCAAGCGUUAAUCGGAAUUACUGGGCGUAAAGCGCACGCAGGCGGUCUGUCAAGUCGGAUGUGAAAUCCCCGGGCUCAACCUGGGAACUGCAUUCGAAACUGGCAGGCUAGAGUCUUGUAGAGGGGGGUAGAAUUCCAGGUGUAGCGGUGAAAUGCGUAGAGAUCUGGAGGAAUACCGGUGGCGAAGGCGGCCCCCUGGACAAAGACUGACGCUCAGGUGCGAAAGCGUGGGGAGCAAACAGGAUUAGAUACCCUGGUAGUCCACGCCGUAACGAUGUCGACUUGGAGGUUGUGCCCUUGAGGCGUGGCUUCCGGAGCUAACGCGUUAAGUCGACCGCCUGGGGAGUACGGCCGCAAGGUUAAAACUCAAAUGAAUUGACGGGGGCCCGCACAAGCGGUGGAGCAUGUGGUUUAAUUCGAUGCAACGCGAGAACCUUACCUACUCUUGACAUCCAGAGAACUUAGCAGAGAUGCAUUGGUGCCUUCGGGAACUCUGAGACAGUGCUGCAUGCUGUCGUCAGCUCGUGUGUGAAAUGUUGGGUAGUCCCGCACGAGCGCAACCCUUAUCCUUGUUGCCAGCGGUCCGGCCGGGAACUCAAGGAGACU
rnacentral:rRNA from 1 species